ACAACUUCAUCUUGCUAUCUCGCGCACUCAUAUCAAUUCUUGAUUUCUUGGAAUCAAAUAGUGAAGGGGCAUGAAUAAUGUGGAAGAAGGAGAAGGAGGUACCUCAACAAGAAGGCAAAUUUAUCAACCACCUAUUUUUUGUUUCUCGUUUAAUUCUAGAAAGGGAAAAGAACGCAAAAGUGUUAAUUAACUGAAAGGAGAUGCAUCUCCACUAUUGAGCUAUUACGCCUGUGAAGUGCUAAUAGAUGUAUCUAAGGCGAGCUCUUUUGCUCGCUGUCUGGGAGCUCUACUCAUCACCCCUAUCACUCGACAAGCCAAACUUUUCAUUCAAUAAUGUUUUUCCAUGUCUCUAAUGAUUCGGCGGAAGGAAAGAGGCAAGGCUUUGACAGAUCCGCCGAAGAAGGCUCGGUCUUAGAAUUAGUCUGAAGCUUGUCAAAAGAGAAUAACUGAUUAUAGGAAACAAAAGAGGAGAUAGGAUAGGUGCAAGAAUGUUUACCUUUACGAAGAGAAAUGGAAAGGUCUAAGUUGGAUUCAAGAGUAGUAAUGGCGGUUAGUUCUUCCAACGAAAAAACUGUUAGUGGAUGGCCUGUCAUUUGCUAAACUAUCCCAAUUAGUGUGCCUUGAUAAUUCUUUACAUUGGGAAAGCUGAGCAAAGUUUUCUGCAGAUGCUAAGAUAGUUGUCUCAAAUAAUGAUGCUGCUGUCAUUUGACAACAAGUCGAACAAAAACACAAGACCGCUAGUACUCAGUUUGAAAAAUACUAAUAAAAUGUCAUCAAUCGGUAAUUGGAAUAGUAGAACACCUAAACAAAAGUCUCAAACGAGACAAAUGGUUGAACCCUUACCAAACAGUAGAUCAGAAUAAAAAACUAAAGCCACCAAAGGCUAAUCUCCUUAAACGGAGUAUGAAACUACAAAACAGCAUCUAAGAUUGCAAUACCUAGGCCAAGUCGAUGCCAAAACACGACACGGAGUUGCUGGAGCUCGCCGGAAAAGGCCACACCCGCCGGCGUGUGGCAUCGGAGAGGAAAGGUGUGUUAGGCGCUUGUGGGCCACAUGCGUAUCGUUUAUUUGUCGGAUUUGAAGAUAUAGCCGAUCUUGGGCUGCGGAGCUGACUGGUGGGGGUGGUGACGUGAAAGACUCACCCUAAUUGGGUGAUCUGAAAGUGGCAAAUCUGAAACCAAAAACUGCCGAAAGAAACUUUAAAGUAUCAGAUCUGAAGGACCCUCUGAUAUCACGUGGAAUUUUGAAUGUCUAUGUAUUAUGUACAAUAAAUUUAUAGAGAGUCCUAGAAUACUAAUCUUCUGAAUCAAGCAUAUAUCUAUACAUAUUUAGUUUUCAUAACAUAAAAUUUAAUACCUCAUUUAUUUUUAUCAUGAAAAAUAUAUAUAUAAAUUUUUUAUAACUAUUUUUCAUUCAUCCCCAUUAUUUUCCCAC
rnacentral:lncRNA from 1 species